AAAGUCGUAACAAGGUAACCGUAGGUGAACCUGCGGUUGGAUCAUUAACAAAAUGAUAAAAGUCUGGGCUAAACCCAGGCUUUUAUAAACACUUGUGAACCGUUAUUGUAUCUGGUGGGUUAAAAGGUAGCUUUGCUUCUGGUGCUUCGGCAUUACCCACCAAAAAUUUUAACAUGUAUUUCUUGAACUAGUUUUAAUUAAUUUAAAAUUAACAACUUUUGACAACGGAUCUCUAGGCUCUC
rnacentral:misc_RNA from 1 species